CACCUCUGGCAAUGGGCAAAGAGACACUUGUUGGUGGUGGUGUUCUUGUAUCAGUCAGGGGCAGAGAAGAUGGCAGUCCUUUGUUCAUCCUGGCUUGAUGCUUGGCUUGGUGGCCAAAGCUGUCUUAUGCCUGGGACCCAUAG